CCCAGCCCCUAAGCGGCGGGAAUAAGAGCAGCUGCCUGGUGCUGGGAGCUCAGAGGCAUUGCCCAGCUCCCAGCUGUUGCUGCUUCCCCAGACACCUGCGCUGCAGCUUCUGACUGCACCUCUGCUCCCAACCUCUUACCACCAGAGAGGCAUGAUGGGUUUCUGGAAGAUCACCUCCUUCCUGGUUUUCAGCAUCCUGGCCCUGUACCAUAUGGGCCUCUUCGACGUUGAGGACUCUGGCACUGAAGAGGAAACAAUAUACCUGCUGGACGAUGAGGUUGAGAUAAUGACUACUGAACUGCCAAAGGAGAAAUAAGUCUCCAGGUCAUCAUGUGGCUGAACUCUACUUUCAAUUUAAAAUAAUUACAAUUCGAAAAACUAUGAACACAAGAAAAUUAAAUUCAUCCUUCUUCGUAGAGAAGCCACCCUUUCUCUUUAAAAUAAAUAAAAUCUAAAGGCAGAAUAAAAACUAUUGCAAUGA